UCUUUGUGUUACAUGACUUGAUUGUAGAAUGCAUUUGAGCUAGCCUUCAGGUAUUUGGGUGCCGGUAAAUCCCUACCCUAAUUUUGGCCAAACUCUCUCAUUUAGACAAGGAGCAGAGUAAUUUGUACUUAGAAAACUCAUUUUUUAAAUUUUUUGGUAAAAACUAAAUAUUUCUGUGGCAGUUUGGAAUAAGAUCCUGUUACCAUGAGCAUGUGGAGAUCAUUGUUAUCAGGGUAGUUUUGGCGCUGAUGGUUCAAGUACUCUGUAGUUACAAUACUUUGCCUCCCUAUGCCCUCGUUACGCAGAUGGGUUCACAUUUCAAAAGAGCAUUGUUGGAAGAACACAUAAUGCAAGCCAUAAAGCAAUGGCACGCAGAAGUGAAGAGGAAGAAAAAAAAGCAAAAGAAUAAGCUGCAGCAACAAGAAAUAAAAUUCACCUCUCUGAGAAUUGCAACGUUAGUUGAGUUUAGUGCUCAUGAAAUUUAGGAGAUCUCUGAAGAACAUGAAGAACCGGUAGAAGUAACAACAGUCCAUCAAAAUCAAUCAGAAAUAUUUGUUGACGUUGUUAAUUGUAGUUAGUUUUGGAAAAGAGAAGAGAAUACAAGUUUUCAUUAAUAGAGUACAGAAAGGAGGAC